rnacentral:rRNA from 1 species
CCUACGGGCUGCAGCAGUGGGGAAUAUUGGACAAUGGGGGCAACCCUGAUCCAGCCAUGCCGCGUGUGUGAAGAAGGCCCUCGGGUUGUAAAGCACUUUCAGUGAGGAAGAACGCCUGGUGGUUAAUACCCAUCAGGAAAGACAUCACUCACAGAAGAAGCACCGGCUAACUCCGUGCCAGCAGCCGCGGUAAUACGGAGGGUGCGAGCGUUAAUCGGAAUUACUGGGCGUAAAGCGCGCGUAGGUGGCUUGAUAAGCCGGUUGUGAAAGCCCCGGGCUCAACCUGGGAACGGCAUCCGGAACUGUCAAGCUAGAGUGCAGGAGAGGAAGGUAGAAUUCCCGGUGUAGCGGUGAAAUGCGUAGAGAUCGGGAGGAAUACCAGUGGCGAAGGCGGCCUUCUGGACUGACACUGACACUGAGGUGCGAAAGCGUGGGUAGCAAACAGGAUUAGAUACCCGGGUAGUC